rnacentral:lncRNA from 1 species
AUGAAUUGGAAAGGCCCUCAUCAAUCAUCUAAGCAAAUCCAUAUGGGAAAGGAAUCUCUACUACAAUAUAUAUAUAACAAAUGGUCAUUCUGCAUCCUCUUGAAGAUCUCCAAAGGGAAAGGCAUCACAUCUCAAGAGCUGUACAGAGGCAAGUCACAAUCCUCUUCCAUGAAAGCGUUCCUCAAAUACUUAAAGAUAGUUAUCAUGUAUAUGCUUCCUCCAUCUAGUCCUUGUAAGUUGAUUUUCAUACCUAAGUGUAUGAUUUUACAUUUAUUCCUAUUAAAUUUCAUCUUAUUAGAUAUAGCCCACUGCUCAAGCCUGUGCCAUUUAUUAAGCUCUCUUUAGUGUGGUGAUAAUGCUGUUGGAAGUUCUCCAAAGAACACUGAGACCUCCAGCCUUCCAAAUGCUUACAGUCUAGUGCAUAAACAUGGGGAAAUCUACAUAAGAAUUGAGAUCUACAAAUCAGAUGUAAAAAUCAAAUAAUGUGUUUACAUAAUGCAAAAGUAAUACAGUUGCAUCAGCUAUCCUCCAACCAGAGAAAAGUAAAAGUAAAAUGUUAUAUGAAGUUAAACAGAUUGCAUUUUUCUUCUGGGGAUGGUGUCAGGAGGAAGAAGUGAAAAGGUCACACAUGGCUAGAGGAACAAAGGCAAAGCCUUACAUAACCAGUGUCGGCUGGUGCACUAUGUCUAAACUUGGACUUUAGGCAUGGAGUGACUUUAUUCUUACUAAUAAGUUUCACAUGCAAGAUAGUUCUUUUAGCAGUCUGUUAGUAACUCAAAAAUGCCUGAAAUAGCCUCAGCAGCCUGCAAAGACAGAAACCAAACAAGUUGACCUAAAAGCAGAAGCAACAGAAGUUAGUUUUCCUCAAAGCACAACUAGGCGUUUGCCUAUGGAGUAAGUUUGCCUUUUUAUACUUUUCCAGGAUGAAGGAGAGAAGGGGGUUAUAGCCUGUUGCUGCUGGGAGCAUUGCCUGGUGGCCUGGUACCAUGGGAAUUUCUUUGCCUUGCUUCAUUGAGGAUAUGGAAAUAUAUACAAUUCAAAAAAGAUCAUAGGAUUUAGAGUAAGAAAAGACCUCCAAGACUGAAUUCCUUAAGCCUGGAUUUGGGCAUAUAUCCUGCUCAGGCAUUAUAUACUUAAAUAUCAUAUAAGAGGAACAGUUUUUAUUCUUUUAUAUUUGUGUUCUUUCAAUAAACCUGAGACUCAUUCAGGACCA